rnacentral:misc_RNA from 1 species
UUUUUAUUUUUUAAAAUUUUUUGUUUCAUGUCUUGAGAGUUGACUCUGUACAAAUGUUCCGAAGUUUAGUGGUUUGGGUAAUAGACAUGUUCAUUGUGACAUACUUUUUUAUGGGCAUUAAAGGACCUGAUUAAAAAAGCAAUCAAGGGAGGAAGAUAUAAGCAUGGAAAAUCUUGUGAUCUAUCAGUUUAAGCAUUCAGAUCAAGUUGGUGCCCAAAAUGAGCGAGUCUAUUCCUUGAUGCUUUUUUUAAGCCCAAAAU